rnacentral:lncRNA from 1 species
UUUAUGUAAACUUCACUUUAUGUUUAUGGCACUGUGAAAUAAAGGACAAAUGUUGUAAAAAUAUAGUAAAAAGUCACAGUUUUCCUUCCUGCAGGUGUGGUCGAGCCAACAACAACUACAGAUCUGAGACCUGUCUGGAUGUGACAGUAGGUAUCAGCCUGAUUGAUUUUGUUACAGGAAUGUAACCCAGCAUCUAAUAUAUUACGCACUGUUUUCUGUCCUCGUUAUCAACAGAUCCCAGAUGAUCACCUGGCCGGGUGUCAUAUUUACCCAGAGGCUGAUUCACCUCGCAGAACUGAGCUCCGUCCUGAAGGUGCUGGACUCCCUGACACCGACUUCCUGCUGUACCUCCACCUACGGGCCACUGACAAGUGUAGAGCUGAGGUAGAGAGCCACUGAAUCCUAAAGCACAACUGAGAAGUAAAUAGAAAGUAAGUAAUUAAAGCACUUUUAAGAAGAGAAACUGACAAAGUGUUACAAUAAAACACCCCUCAGCCUAACGUGUUGGCCUACGCCGUCCACUGCCAGAUGGACACCCAUGGGCGACCUGUUGCUGGGGUGGUGGUGAUCUGCAGGGACAGACUGACAGGAGCCGCAUACAGCCACCAGACUUCUGUGCAGGUACCAUCAUCAAUAUCCAUUUCAUUACGUUUUAAUCAUGUAUUGAUGUGUCGAAUCGUGUGCUCUCAUCUGUUUUUCCAGACUGUGAUCCACGAGCUGUUUCACGCGCUUGGUUUCUCCAAACAUCUCUUCCACACCUGGAGAGACUGCUCGUCCACCUCUACAGCUGGAGCUGCCUGUUCUCCUCGAGGCACAGUGACUCACUCUGAUGGAUCAGGCCAGAUGAGGAUUUACACCCCGUCCGUCAUCUCAGCCCUGCAGAAGCACCUGGCGUCCACUGACCCAGAGCUGGGAGCGCCGCUGGAGAACCUGGUACCAAGCAGCUCCAGCCUGACCCCUCAUGAGAUCUAUCAUGCGCUCUCCUUACUGCACAAGUUAAACGCUUUCUGUCUUCAGGAUCUGGGCAAACUGUCCUCCCACUGGGAGUCCAGGGUCCUGCAGGGCUCCAUCAUGGCGGCGGUGCUGGGGGACCCCGCCACAGUUCGGAUCGACCCGGUCACCCUGGCUGCACUACAGGAUACAGGCUGGUACAGUGUUAACCUGAGCCGGGCGCAGAGCCUAGUCUGGGGAGAAGGUGAAGGAGCCAUGUUUGGCUCUCUCUCAACCUGUCGGGACAAGUCUUCAUCUUUCUUCUGCACUGGCAGGUUGAUUUAUUAUUAUUUAUUUGUUUUAUACACAGCAACCUCUGUUACUUGA